rnacentral:rRNA from 1 species
CUGGCUCAGGACGAACGCUGGCGGCGUGCCUAAUACAUGCAAGUCGAGCGAACAGAGAAGGAGCUUGCUCCUUUGACGUUAGCGGCGGACGGGUGAGUAACACGUGGGCAACCUACCUUAUAGUUUGGGAUAACUCCGGGAAACCGGGGCUAAUACCGAAUAAUCUGUUUCACCUCAUGGUGAAAC